rnacentral:rRNA from 1 species
CCUACGGGAGGCAGCAGUAGGGAAUAUUGCUCAAUGGGGGAAACCCUGAAGCAGCAACGCCGCGUGGAGGAUGAAGGUUUUCGGAUUGUAAACUCCUUUUGUUAGAGAAGAUAAUGACGGUAUCUAACGAAUAAGCACCGGCUAACUCCGUGCCAGCAGCCGCGGUAAUACGGAGGGUGCAAGCGUUACUCGGAAUCACUGGGCGUAAAGAGCGCGUAGGCGGGAUAGCAAGUCAGAUGUGAAAUCCUAUGGCUUAACCAUAGAACUGCAUUUGAAACUGUUAUUCUAGAGUAUGGGAGAGGUAGGUGGAAUUCUUGGUGUAGGGGUAAAAUCCGUAGAGAUCAAGAGGAAUACUGAUUGCGAAGGCGACCUGCUAGAACAUAACUGACGCUGAUGCGCGAAAGCGUGGGUAGCAAACAGGAUUAGAUACCCCAGUAGUC